AAGCGCGGUUCCAAUACCCGCCACCGGGAGGGCGGGCGGACUGGGUUCUCCCAGCUAGGUCGCAGUGGGCGAUGGGGAUCCCCAAGGGUGGGCCGAGAGCUGACGGAUCGGCAGCGCUGGUUAAGGCCCCGCACCUGCAGUCCCAGUGACCUUGAACGAUUCCGCUCUGCGGCGGGUGUCCCUAAACUAGCGGUUUAGGGUGUCAGUAAAUCUUGCUGCUGCUCACUCUUUGGGUCCACGCUGCCUUUAUGAGCUGUAACACUCACUGCGAAGGUUUGCAGCUUUCCUCCUGAGCCAGGGAGACCACGAACCCACCAGAAGGAAGAAACUCCAAACACAUCCGAAGAUCAGAAGGAACCAACUCUGGACGCCCCACUUUUAAGAACUGUAACACUCACUGCGAUGGUCUGCGGCUUCGUUCUUGAAGUCAGUGAGACCAAGAACCCACUAAUUCCGGACACACAGGGAUUACAGGCAUGAGCCACUGUGCCUGGCCCAGUUUAAGUUUAAAGUGAAAGUAUUAUCGAAUAAAAUGUUUGUCUGA